rnacentral:lncRNA from 1 species
GAAAGGAAUUGAAUCCAUUUGCUCUGUCUACCAGGCUGGUCAAUAGGGCUACUGGGCAUGCUCUUCUUCUGGCCAUGGCCAUCCCUCCCUCUGAGAAAUUGAUGAAAUUAUUAUCAUGGAAAUUGGCGAUGCCUGAUGGGAGUGAGGCUGGAGACAGGUUGUCUGAGCCGACCGUUCACGUGGACAGCUCUCAGUUCAUGCUCCAUGCCUGGGCAGCGGAGGAGAGGCUGGAGGGGCAGAGGCUCAGAACAGAGUGGAUCCUUUUACAGUAAAGCUUCAUGUUCGGAGAUUAGAGACGUGGCCCCAAAGGGAUUCUUACCCACAUUUCACUCGCAUCAUGUCUGCCUGGCAUGGAAGUGCAGACAAAGGAGCUUAGAUGACCUUCAAGUUUCUAUGACCACUGAUCCAGAAGCUUGUGAAAAGAAGCAUGGAGUAGAGGAAGUCUAG